UACGAAGGUGCAAGCGUUACUCGGAAUUACUGGGCGUAAAGCGUGCGUAGGCGGUUUGUUAAGUCUGUCGUGAAAGCCCCGGCUCAACCUGGAAUGGCGAUGGAUACUGGCGAGCUAGAGUACGGUAGAGGAGAGUGGAAUUCCGGUGUAGCAGUGAAAUUCGUACGAUAUUCGGAAGAACACCAGUGGCGAAGGCGACUUACUGGACACGUAUUGACGCUGAGGUGCGAAAGCGUGGGA
rnacentral:rRNA from 1 species